rnacentral:rRNA from 1 species
UACGGGGGGGGCGAGCGUUGUCCGAAUUUACUGGGCGUAAAGCGCGCGUAGGCGGGCUAUUAAGUCGGUUGUGAAAGGCCGGGGCUUAACUCCGGGACUGCGACCGAUACUGGCAGCCUUGAGUGCGGGAGGGGGAAGUGGAAUUGCUGGUGUAGCGGUGAAAUGCGUAGAUAUCAGCAGGAACACCGGUGGCGAAGGCGGCUUCCUGGACCGUAACUGACGCUGAGGCGCGAAAGCCAGGGGAGCGAACGGG